rfam:Oryza nivara chromosome 1, whole genome shotgun sequence.
AAUAAGUGCAGUUUUGCACUAUUCACGUUCAACGUUACGUCUUAUUUGAAAAUUUUUUAUGAUUAGUAUUUUUAUUGUUGUUAGAUGAUAAAACAUGAAUAGUAUUUUAUGUGUGACUAAAUAUUUUUAAUUUUUUCACAAAAUUUUUAAAUAAGACGGACGGUCAAACGUUGGGUAUGGAUAUCCACGGCUGCACUUAUU